rfam:Parabacteroides goldsteinii dnLKV18 genomic scaffold acPFM-supercont1.1, whole genome shotgun sequence.
GUACACGAAAAGGGGUGCCAUACUGUAAACGGGCUGAGAUUAUACCCUGUGAACCUGAUGCGGGUAAUGCCGCCGUAGGAAAGACAGACAAGGCUUUU